rnacentral:rRNA from 1 species
AUCAUGGCUCAGGGUGAAACGCUGGCUACAGGCUUAACACAUGCAAGUCGAGGGGAAAACGACGGGGAAGCUUGCUUCCCCGGGCGUCGACCGGCGCACGGGUGAGUAACGCGUAUCCAACCUGCCUCCGACUGAGGGAUAACCCGUCGAAAGUCGGCCUAAUACCUCAUGGCAUCGUCUGCGGGCAUCCAACGACGAUUAAAGAUUUCAUCGGUCAGGGAUGGGGAUGCGUCUGAUUAGCUUGUUGGCGGGGUAACGGCCCACCAAGGCUACGAUCAGUAGGGGUUCUGAGAGGAAGGUCCCCCACAUUGGAACUGAGACACGGUCCAAACUCCUACGGGAGGCAGCAGUGAGGAAUAUUGGUCAAUGGGCGAGAGCCUGAACCAGCCAAGUAGCGUGCAGGAUGACGGCCCUAUGGGUUGUAAACUGCUUUUAUGCGGGGAUAAAGUGAGGGACGUGUCCUUCAUUGCAGGUACCGCAUGAAUAAGGACCGGCUAAUUCCGUGCCAGCAGCCGCGGUAAUACGGAAGGUCCGGGCGUUAUCCGGAUUUAUUGGGUUUAAAGGGAGCGUAGGCCGUGGAUUAAGCGUGUUGUGAAAUGCAGGUGCUCAACGUCUGCACUGCAGCGCGAACUGGUCCACUUGAGUGUGCGCAACGCAGGCGGAAUUCGUCGUGUAGCGGUGAAAUGCUUAGAUAUGACGAAGAACUCCGAUUGCGAAGGCAGCUUGCGGGAGCACAACUGACGCUGAAGCUCGAAAGUGCGGGUAUCGAACAGGAUUAGAUACCCUGGUAGUCCGCACGGUAAACGAUGGAUGCCCGUUGUCAGGCUGUUUCAGCCUGGUGACCAAGCGAAAGCAUUAAGCAUCCCACCUGGGGAGUACGCCGGCAACGGUGAAACUCAAAGGAAAUUGACGGGGGCCCGCACAAGCGGAGGAACAUGUGGUUUAAUUCGAUGAUACGCGAGGAACCUUACCCGGGCUUGAAUUGCAGACGAAGGCUUCAGAGAUGAAGCGGCCCUUCGGGGCGUCUGUGAAGGUGCUGCAUGGUUGUCGUCAGCUCGUGCCGUGAGGUGUCGGCUUAAGUGCCAUAACGAGCGCAACCCCUUUCUUCAGUUGCCAUCAGGUGAUGCUGGGCACUCUGGAGACACUGCCACCGCAAGGUGUGAGGAAGGUGGGGAUGACGUCAAAUCAGCACGGCCCUUACGUCCGGGGCUACACACGUGUUACGAAUGGCCGGUACAGAGAGUUGAUUUUGUGCGAAACGACGAAUCUUAACCCUUAAAUCCGGUCCCGGUUUCGGACUGGGGUUCUGCAACCCGACCCCGCGAAGCUGGAAUUCGGCUAUGAAUCGGCGCGCCGCCGUGGCGCGGUGAAUGACGUUCCUCGGGCCGUGUUAGCGCCCCCC